rnacentral:lncRNA from 10 species
GGGGAAGCCAUCUAUCAUGUCAUGGUAGGCUACAGGGAGUUCCAUGUGGGGAAGAACUGAAACCUCCUCCCAACAGCCAUGUGAGGAAGCUUGGAAAACCUUAGAAGAGUAUCCUUUAAAAAAAAGUUUUAAAUUAAACACAAAUAAAUACAUAAACAGUACAACUGCAAUCUCAUGAGACAUCCCAAGCGAGACAACUCAGCAACAGAUAACGAACACAGACAAACCUCAAAGGUGAGUUAGAAGGGAAUAUGUCGAGACAGGAGAACCAUGAGCCUGGGAUCUUGAGAAUAUGUCAUGGAAGACAGCCUGGAAUACGGUGGCUAAUACUACUGAAU